AGCGAACGCUGGCGGCAGGCUUAACACAUGCAAGUCGAACGGGCACUUCGGUGCUAGUGGCAGACGGGUGAGUAACGCGUGGGAACGUGCCUUUCGGUUCGGAAUAAUCCAGGGAAACUUGGACUAAUACCGGAUACGCCCUUCGGGGGACAAAUUUAUCGCCGAAAGAUCGGCCCGCGUCUGAUUAGCUAGUUGGUGAGGUAAAAGCUCACAAAGGCGACGAUCAGUAGCUGGUCUGAGAGGAUGAUCAGCCACAUUGGGACUGAGACACGGCCCAAACUCCUACGGGAGGCAGCAGUGGGGAAUAUUGGACAAUGGGCGCAAGCCUGAUCCAGCCAUGCCGCGUGAGUGAUGAAGGCCUUAGGGUUGUAAAGCUCUUUUGUCCGGGAAGAUAAUGACUGUACCGGAAGAAUAAGCCCCGGCUAACUUCGUGCCAGCAGCCGCGGUAAAAC
rnacentral:rRNA from 1 species